CACUCCACUGAAGUACAGAGUUAUACAGGAGAUUCAGUUCAGUUCUCCAGCAGUAUUAGCAUUAACUGCUAACUGAGCUAAGCUCUAGCUUUUUCACCAUUUAAAGGUGAGUGUUAUCAGUCUGUAGUCUGCAUGUUUACUGUGUUAAAACAGGUUAUCACCCUGGCUUAUAGGAACAUUCAGGGUUCCUCAGUGUAGCUCUGUUAGGGGGAAUUUGCUAGUGCUAGCGUUUUAGCUGCUAAUGCUAAUGCUCCAGCGUUAGUGGAGAUACUGGAAAUCUAAGCUUACUGUAAAUAAAGGAAGUGCCCAAAUAAACAGUUUUUAGGAGAAAAAUCUGUGUAGAUUAACAUCCAGAGCUCGUUUUACUUUAAAAGAAAUUGUUUAUUUUUAAGAACUGCAGUUUUGUUUACUUAACUUAGAUUUGUAGGUCAUUUAGACCUGCUUAAUUAGGAGGAAACUUGGUGACACCCCUGUUCCUUAUUAGUGUUGCAUUAAAUAAUCCAGUGCGCCUUAUAGUGCGAAGAAUACAGUAGCAGAAAAUGUAUCUUCUUUACUGAAAAUCUUUGUUUCAGGCUCUGAGCGUGGGGACGGUGCAUGAUCUCCUGGGGGUGAAUCUGCCUGAUCUGAAGCUGUUUGAGAAUUCUACAGAGGUUCAGACCUGGGUGGCUCAGCAGACCAAGGCUGACCUGGCGACGCUGGGUCUCGGACUCGUCGGGGGAAAAGACACUGUGGCCACUGCUAGCGCCACCGUCGCCACCCAGACAGUAGCUGCACAUGGACCAGGUGUUGUUCAUGGUGUUUCAGGACCGUGGUUUUUCACCAUGUUUGUAGGACUGCUGAUGAUCACACUGCAGAUACUACAGUAACCAGCGAACUCCUGACCCGCUGUCCGACCAUAUAUAACAUAAAUAUAAUAUAUAUCACAGUUAAUCACUAUGUCAGUCUGUCUCAUUUAAGUCAAUAACACAAACUCUUUACUGAAGUUCUAAUCUAUAUGAAUAUAUGUAUUUGUAUUUUCUGUAAACAAUCCUUAUAAACUUUAAAACAGGGGGGUGUGGUGACUUUAUAAACAUAUAUUUUUAAAUUCCUAAACUAACUGCAAGCUUCAUUCUGAAAUUAUUUUAAUUGUUUAAUAAACUGUCCUAAUAAAAAAAUAACA
rnacentral:lncRNA from 1 species